rnacentral:rRNA from 1 species
UGGGGAAUUUUGGACAAUGGGGGAAACCCUGAUCCAGCCAUCCCGCGUGUGCGAUGAAGGCCUUCGGGUUGUAAAGCACUUUUGGCAGGAAAGAAACGUCGCGGGUUAAUACCCCGCGAAACUGACGGUACCUGCAGAAUAAGCACCGGCUAACUACGUGCCAGCAGCCGCGGUAAUACGUAGGGUGCAAGCGUUAAUCGGAAUUACUGGGCGUAAAGCGUGCGCAGGCGGUUCGGAAAGAAAGAUGUGAAAUCCCAGAGCUUAACUUUGGAACUGCAUUUUUAACUACCGGGCUAGAGUGUGUCAGAGGGAGGUGGAAUUCCGCGUGUAGCAGUGAAAUGCGUAGAUAUGCGGAGGAACACCGAUGGCGAAGGCAGCCUCCUGGGAUAACACUGACGCUCAUGCACGAAAGCGUGGGGAGCAAACAGGAUUAGAUACCCUGGUAGUCCACGCCCUAAACGAUGUCAGNUGCUGUUGGGGGCCUUCGGGCCUUGGUAGCGCAGCUAACGCGUGAAGUUGACCGCCUGGGGGAGUACGGUCGCAAGAUUAAAACUUAAAGGAAUU